CAAACGAUGUUUGUAAACAUCAAAAUCAGCUGUUCAUUCAAAACAAGCUGAUUUUGUUGAAGUUUUCGAUUCGAGGAAUGAUUCGCAUGGAGAAACUUCGCGAUUGGUGGACAAAUCGGAAAAUAAUUGUAUUUGGGUGGCUAAGCGCUUUGUUCGAAGAGGAAACCUUCCCAUAGAAGCAAGUUCUGCCGAUGUACGUCAAGAAGGAAUACAAGCGAUGCCGUUUUGGGGAACGAUUUCUUCCGGACGGACGACGACAGGUCAAGAUUCGCAAGAAGGGCAGCUAGGCACUCGAUCGUUCCUUCCGGAAAAAUGCAAACAGCACAGUGAUUACAAAAGUCAACGGUACAAGGGCAUCAUCAAGCCUACCAACUCUUCGAACCGGAAGGAAUGCCUGAGUGGAUGAUCCUGCAGGGACUAUUGCUGAAUAUGAUGCUGAUGCCAUCAGGACACACUCCGAACUGGAACCUGGAAAGCAUGUUGAUGCUGAACGGCAGGGACUGCCGCUAAAUUUGAUGCUGGUACCAACCUGGAACCUGAUGGCGAACAUGCUGACGAGCUGGCCGAGUGCGGAGCUACGAUCGAAGGAUAAUCACGGACGUUCUCGGCGAUUUUAACGAACAGGUUAACCAAUAAAACCAGAGAAAGUGCAACAUUUUGUGUAUUUUGUGAAAUGUAUUGUGUGAUAUUAGAUCAGUAAAAAAAUGAAGAAAA